AGAUUAAGUCAGAAAGCUCGUUGGUCUUUCCGCUCUGGUAGCCAGGAAGUUCGAGAUGGAGCAGCCACAUCUAAUGAGGCCCUUCCUGCUGGUGUUGACGCUGCAGAGUCCAAGGCCAUUCAGGGCAUGGCAUGGCCUCCAUAAGGACAUUGGAAGAAGGAAGAUUCACUCUUCUUCAACUGCUUGCACUUACUUGCCAGCACAUCUGUUGGAGCCUACUUCUACAGAAGAGCAGCUGAAACACCCAGCCUUGUGGGACUGAGCAACUACUAGAUCCUUGGACUUCCCAUCCACAGCUGCCCAUUGUUGGGUUAGAUGGACUACAGACUGUAAGUCAUCCCAAUAAAUUCCUUAAUAUACAGAGACAUCCCAUAAGUUCUGUGACUCAAGAGAACCCUGACUAAUACAACCUGCUUGGCUGGGCUGGUGCGAUAGCUCAGCAGGCAAAGUUGACUGCAGUGUAAGCCUGGAGGUGCACCAUUGAUGGAUAGGACGCAUGCAGAGGUGAAAGAGCCGACUCCACAGCAGUCCUCUCACCUCUACAUGGACAUUGGAGCAUGCACCACCAUCAUGCACGCAGUGAUGGUUUAAAUAUGCUUGGCCCAGAGAGUGGCAAUAAUAGGAGGUGUGGCCUUGUUAGAGUAGGUGUGGCCUUGUUGGAGGAAGUGUGUCAUUGUGGGUGUGGGCUAUAAGAAUUUUGUCCUAACUGCCUGGAAGCCAGUCUUCUAACAGUCUUCAGAUAGAGAUGAAGAACUCUCAGCGCUGCCUGCACCAUGCUUGCCUGGGCAAUGGUAUGUUCCUACCUUGAUAAAGGACUGAUCCGCUGAACCUGUAAGCCAGCCCCAAUUAAAUGUUGUCAUUAUAAGA